GGGCCCUACGGAGGCAGCAGUGAGGAAUAUUGGUCAAUGGCCGGAAGGCUGUACCAGCCAUGCCGCGUGAAGGUCAGUGCCCUAUGGGCGUUAAACUUCUUUUGUGCGGGAGCAAUAAUGGUCACGUGUGGCCAGACGAGAGUACCGUACGAAUAAGCAUCGGCUAACUCCGUGCCAGCAGCCGCGGUAAUACGGGGGAUGCAAGCGUUAUCCGGAUUUAUUGGGUUUAAAGGGUGCGUAGGCUGUGAGGUAAGUCAGCGGUGAAAUGCCCCUGCUCAACGGGGUGAAGUGCCAUUGAUACUGCC
rnacentral:rRNA from 1 species